rnacentral:rRNA from 1 species
AGAGUUUGAUCAUGGCUCAGGACGAACGCUGGCGGCGUGCUUAACACAUGCAAGUCGAACGGAAAGGCCCCUUCGGGGGUACUCGAGUGGCGAACGGGUGAGUAACACGUGGGUGAUCUGCCCUGCACUUUGGGAUAAGCCUGGGAAACUGGGUCUAAUACCGAAUAGGACCGCAUGCUUCAUGGUGUGUGGUGGAAAGCUUUUGCGGUGUGGGAUGGGCCCGCGGCCUAUCAGCUUGUUGGUGGGGUAAUGGCCUACCAAGGCGACGACGGGUAGCCGGCCUGAGAGGGUGUCCGGCCACACUGGGACUGAGAUACGGCCCAGACUCCUACGGGAGGCAGCAGUGGGGAAUAUUGCACAAUGGGCGCAAGCCUGAUGCAGCGACGCCGCGUGGGGGAUGACGGCCUUCGGGUUGUAAACCUCUUUCAGUAUCGGCGAAGCUCCAGGAUUUUUCUUGGGGUGACGGUAGGUACAGAAGAAGCACCGGCCAACUACGUGCCAGCAGCCGCGGUAAUACGUAGGGUGCGAGCGUUGUCCGGAAUUACUGGGCGUAAAGAGCUCGUAGGUGGUUUGUCACGUUGUCUGUGAAAACUCACAGCUUAACUGUGGGCGUGCGGGCGAUACGGGCAGACUGGAGUACUGUAGGGGAGACUGGAAUUCCUGGUGUAGCGGUGGAAUGCGCAGAUAUCAGGAGGAGCACCGGUGGCGAAGGCGGGUCUCCGGGCAGUAACUGACGCUGAGGAGCGAAAGCGUGGGGAGCGAACAGGAUUAGAUACCCUGGUAGUCCAA